UACAGAGGUCUCGAGCGUUAGGCGGAAUCACUGGGCUUAAAGCGUGUGUAGGUGGAUUGGUAAGUACCUUGUGAAAUCCCACGGCUUAACCGUGGAACUGCUGGGUAUACUGCCAGUCUUGAGCCAGCUAGGGGCUACCGGAACAAAUGGUGGAGCGGUGAAAUUCGUAGAUAUUCGCAAGAACACCAGUGGCGAAGGCGGCUCACUGGCCCGAUACUGACGCUGAGGCACGAAAGCGUGGGGAGCAAACAGG
rnacentral:rRNA from 1 species